rnacentral:rRNA from 1 species
GACAGAGGGUGCAAACGUUGCUCGGAAUUACUGGGCGUAAAGCGCGUGUAGGCGGUUACGCGAGUCAGGUGUGAAAGCCCAGGGCUCAACCCUGGAAGUGCACUUGAUACUACGUAGCUGGAGUCCUGUAGAGGAGAGCGGAAUUCCCGGUGUAGAGGUGAAAUUCGUAGAUAUCGGGAGGAACACCAGUGGCGAAGGCGGCUCUCUGGACAGGUACUGACGCUGAGACGCGGAAAGCGUGGGUAGCAAACGAGGAAUUGAUGAUACCCGA